UCCUGUCUCAAACAAAUAAGCAGGAUGGCUUCUGAGGAAUAAUACCCAAAUAGACACACACACAACAUACACAUACACACAAAGUAGGGGGCAAAACGCAAAAACAACAAAACAACAACAACAACAAAACCACAACCAAGAAAACCCAAGCAGGCACCAUUUAGAACAGGGCAUCUGUCCAGUCUCUCUUGCUAAUAAAUGUUUCAUCAAUGGCUUGUUCAUUUUUCUUAUUCUCCACAACGGAGAUUAAUUGCUAUUUUACAUUGCACUCAACUUCUAUUAGUUGAGGAUUUAUUCCCUCAGUGAUACCAUCACUGGGCUUCCAUAAAACAUUUUAACGGAGACAAACUCAUUACGUUCUUGAAGGUGAGUGGACAGGAAGGAGACAGAGCUGGCUCAAGUUUUGCAGUGCCGUGGCAUCCACUGAACUACAUCAGGUAUGUCAAACAGGUUGGGCCUGGGACAUACUAGACAACAGAAGCCAGUGGAAGGGUGGUCCAGCUCAGGCCUGCUGGGCCUCUGGCCACCAGAGCUAGCUUUCCCAGAACAGCCCUAAUCCCCAGAUGGCUCUGACCUCUUUACAGCCUUCUCAACCACACUGCCAAACAGCCUGUCCUGACCCAAAAAGGACUCCAUUUCCCAGCUGCUCCAGGUCAUGUUACCCUCUGAUCAGAGUCUCGUUUUAUUCUUGGACUUGACAUUCAGCCCAGUUGAGAGCGAAGUUGUCUUUUCUGUAUAGGAGAUGGUGUGACUGUGGUCACAUUCAGCACCUGCGAUGGUCAGCAUCGGUCACCUUGACAAGAUCUAGGAUCAGUUAGGAGACAAAGCUCCUCUGUGAGGGAUUAUCUAGAUUAUAUUAACUGAGGUGGGAAGACCUGCUUAAAGGAGGCCUGGGACUGAAUAAAAAGGAGAGAGCAAGCUAAGCCCCAUCUCCUCUGCUUCCCAGCCAUGGGUGCACUGAGGACAGCUACCUUGCCUUCCUGAUGUACUCUGCCCCCUGCAGCUGUAAGCCGAGACACGCCCUUCCAUCCUAAACUUGCCUUUGUCAGGAAGAAGAAGAAAAGACUAUCAUGGUGAUGUGGACUGAGACUUCAGACACUAUAGACCGUGUGAAAUCCAGGCUGUGAAAGUGGCUCAAGUGGGUGAAGCACUUGCCUUAUGUGUGUGAGGACCUGCAUUUGAGUCUCCAGCACUCCUCCUGGGAUGUGGGAAGUGGAGAAUCAAUCCCCUGGAGCAGGCAGAAGGUCCAAGCAUCCAGUGGUUGUUUACUCCACGAGGCUGGAUGUCUCAGUCUUCAGUAUACAGCAGAAUUCCAAAGAAGUCCGCUUUAAUGUAAGGAAGAGCAAGGGCAAGCAGGGAAAGAAAGCAAGCUUCCUUCUUCCAUGUCUUUUAUAUGGGCUGCCAGCAGAAGGUGUGACCCAGAUUGAAAAUGGAUCUUCCCACCUCAAAACAUCUGGGUUAAAAGUGUGUCUUCCCACUUCUGGUGAUUUAAUGAAGAAGAAGAAGAAGAA